GACGAACGCUGGCGGCGUGCUUAACACAUGCAAGUCGAGCGGAGCGGCGAACGGGUGAGUAACGCGUGAGUAACUGCCCCCCUCUCUGGGAUAACAGUUGGAAACGGCUGCUAAUACCGGAUAGUGUGGGAUGACACGCGUCCUAUCAGCUUGUUGGUGGGGGAGUGGCCUACCAAGGCGACGACGGGUAGCCGGCCUUGGAGGGCGACCGUGCACAAUGGGCUGAGAUACGGCCCAGACUCCUACGGGAGGCAGCGGGGGGGAAGCUUGCACAAUGGGGGAAACCCUGAUGAAGCAGCGCCGCGUGCGGAAUGUCGGCCUUCGGGUUGUAAACCGCUUUCAGCCAUGACGCGGUAGUGGCAGAAGAAGCACCGGCUAACUACGUGCCAGCAGCCGCGGUAAUUC
rnacentral:rRNA from 1 species